AAGUCUAAUUCUGACAAGUCAUCUUUACUAUCUGGGAUGUCACAAAAAUCAACAUCCAAUGAUAAUGGACAAGUCAUCCUUACUACCAAGGAUGUGACAAGUCCAUUAUCGUUGGAUGUUGAUUCUCGUGACAUAUCUGAUGGUAAAGGUGACUUGACA